AGAGAGGCAAGUGAAGGGGAGCCCACCAUAAAAUGAUCAAAUAGGAACACUUGAAUGAAAGAAAAGUUUGGUCUGUGGACCAGCUGUUCAAUGCUUAAUCCUCCAAAUUAGACUUGCAAUCAGCAAAAAGUAGGUUGAGUUUCAGUUUAACCAACUCUAACACCCACUCCAUCAUAUUCAUAAUCAUUCUUUUCUUAUAA
rnacentral:lncRNA from 1 species